CAAGGACCGCGGCAGCAACACCAUCGGGGCCCGUCUGAACCGGGUGGAAGACAAGGUGACGCAGCUGGAUCAGAGACUGGUGCUCAUCACGGACAUGCUUCACCAGCUUCUCUCCCUGCACCAGGGCGGCCCCCCCAGCGGCCACCCCCCCAGCGAGGCUGGGGCCCAGGGCCUUCAGCCCUGCAGCUCCAUCAGCCCCGAGCUCUUCCUGCCCAGCAACAGCCUGCCCACCUACGAGCAGCUGACUGUGCCCCACAGGGGCCCCGACGAGGGGUCCUGAUGGGGGCGAAGGCAGGGCCGGAGGAGCCCUGUUCAGCCUGGCCCACCUCCCAUCCGGCAGGGGCACCUCACCCCCCAGGUCACUGGCACUCCUCGAAGGCCCAAGACAGCAGCCCCUCCCUCCCAGGCCCCGGACCCCCGUGGGCCACGCUGCCCUGAGAGCCUCCCCUUGAGAAGUGGCUAGGCCACCUCGUCCAGCCAGCAGGACUUCGUCAAAAGGCCUUUGGAGAGGAAAAGAAGGCCGCAACAAUCGCCUUGGGCCUUCCACUUGACUGGCCAGCCCUGCGCGGGGCCUGUGGGCUCAGUGUCCGACACCAAGCUGCCCCUUUCCCCUGUGGGCACGGAACAGCCCCUCCAGGGAGACACCGUGGAGACAUCCCUUCCCAAGCCUCAACAGCUGAGAACCACCACUUACAGAAAGGGAAACUGAGGCUCAAGCAGCCGUCUGACGUUGAGGGAAUGGGUUCCGAGCUUCCAAAGCCAGGAAACUCGGGCCAGGAACACAACCCCUCCUUACCUCGGUUUCCCCGUCGGUCAAACGUGGGUGAGAGUGUG
rnacentral:lncRNA from 1 species